rnacentral:rRNA from 1 species
UACGUAGGUCCCGAGCGUUGUCCGGAUUUAUUGGGCGUAAAGCGAGCGCAGGUGGUUUAUUAAGUCUGGUGCAAAAGGCAGUGGCUCAACCAUUGUAUGCAUUGGAAACUGGUAGACUUGAGUGCAGGAGAGGAGAGUGGAAUUCCAUGUGUAGCGGUGAAAUGCGUAGAUAUAUGGAGGAACACCGGUGGCGAAGGCGGCCACCUGGACGACAACUGACGCUGAGGUGCGAAAGCGUGGGUAGCAAACAGG